rnacentral:rRNA from 1 species
AUGACUGACAAUUUCAUCAUCAAGAAGAUCCUUAAAGCCUUGGAUGGUAAAUAUGAUACCGUGUGCACUUUGAUCCAAAUGAUGCCCAAUUACAAAAAUCUCAAGCCCACUGAAGUCAGAAUUGUUGCUCAUCAGAUGUCACUCAAGGAUAAGGAAGAGCUCCACAACAAGUCAAGUGGUGCAUACAAAGCUUCAAGUGAUGCUCCUACAACAUCAAGUGACAAGCUAGUAGCCAAUGAGGAAUUGAGUCUAAUGGUGAAAAACUUCAAUAAAUUCUACAAGAGUAGAAGCAAAGAUAGAAGCUCCAAGUCAAGGUCCUACAAUGAGAAAAGAUCUUCUAGUCAUGAUCGUAGUUGCUACAAUUCUGAAAGACCCGGACACUACUUCAAUGAGUGUACGCCACCUUAUAAGAAAAGAGAAGACUCACCUAAAAGGAGGAGUAGAAGAGAUGAAUCACCUCAUAGAGAGAGGAGUAGAGAUGAUCGUUAUGAACAACGACCCUCUCGAAGAAGUAAGGAUUCAGAAAGGAAAGACAAGUCAUCAAAGAGCUACACAAGACGAAGACAUCAAGCUCAUGUUGGUGAAUGGGUUUCCGACUCCGACCCCGACACUCACUCCGGGAGAAGCUAUCACUCCGACUCCGACUAUACUCAAGAUGAAGGUGUUGUCGGUCUUGCACUAGUGUCAUCCUACUCCCACGACAUAUUUGAUUCACCAAAUGAAGGAAUUGGAAGAUGCUUCAUGGCUAAAGGCCCCAAGGUAUCACACCCCGAGUAUCUUUAUUUUAAUAGUGAUGAAGAUGAUUUGUAG